GCAGGUAUAGUUUAGUGGUAAAAUGCGACCUUCCCAAGGUUGAGUCGCCGGUCCGAUUCCGGUUACCUGCUCCA
rnacentral:tRNA from 1 species